rnacentral:pre_miRNA from 2 species
UCGUUACUCUCUUCGUUCGGAAUUAUUUACCGGAAAAAUGAACGUAUCUAGACGUAUCUAGACGUAUUGUAAUUGUAGGUACAUUCACUUUUAUCUAUUUCGACAACAAGUAAUUUGAACGGAGGGAGUACUAG